rnacentral:rRNA from 1 species
GACGAACGCUGGCGGCGUGCUUAACACAUGCCAGUCGAACGGAAAGGCCCUUCGGGGUACUCGAGUGGCGAACGGGUGAGUAACACGUGGGUGAUCUGCCCUGCACUUUGGGAUAAGCCUGGGAAACUGGGUCUAAUACCGAAUAGGACCACGCGCUUCAUGGUGUGUGGUGGAAAGCUUUUGCGGUGUGGGAUGGGCCCGCGGCCUAUCAGCUUGUUGGCGGGGUAAUGGCCUACCAAGGCGACGACGGGUAGCCGGCCUGAGAGGGUGACCGGCCACACUGGGACUGAGAUACGGCCCAGACUCCUACGGGAGGCAGCAGUGGGGAAUAUUGCACAAUGGGCGCAAGCCUGAUGCAGCGACGCCGCGUGAGGGAUGACGGCCUUCGGGUUGUAAACCUCUUUCAAUAGGGACGAAGCGCAAGUGACGGUACCUAUAGAAGAAGCACCGGCCAACUACGUG